GAUAGAGGUGCGGGACUGAAGAGUAACGCCGCAGUAAGCCCGUCGGAGGGUGCGGUGCGAAAGGCAAUACCGCCGAGGAGUGCAUAUUCCGAACAAGUAUGUAUAUCCGGUUGUGCGUCGAACAGGCGUAUAACUGUCAUCGGAGAUCUGAUGGAGUGCUAUCG
rnacentral:ncRNA from 1 species